CCCUCCACCACUUGGGACCUGAGCAAGAGGACUGCAGCAGGCGAGUUUCGGAAGGCUGAUCCCGGCCCGGAGCGCGGCAGUUCGCCCCUGCGGCACGCCCGGCCAGGCUGCGCCCGCACUCAGCCAGCGAGGUAAAGGCGGCGGCGGCGCGCCCUGCUCUGGCAGCCGCUGCCAAGCCCCCGCUGCCCUCCGCUUUCUGUGCCCUCGACUUCCUCCUCCUGGCCCCCUCAGUUUACUGGGCUAAACUGAGAGUGAGAGAUGGGUGGGUAGGGUUUGCUGUGCUGGGGCGAGGUGGGGUUGGUGUUGUGUUUUGUUUUUUUGUUUUUGUUUUUGUUUUUGUUUUUUCAUUGUCUGGAGCUGCAGGGGAGGCGAGGCGUGAGGAAGGGGGUAAGGGAGUCGGGGUAAUUAACACGGGGGAGGCACCCCUCCGUCUCCCACUUCCACCCACACCCCCAACCCUCCACCCCCUCCGCUUUGCAGGAAAAAGCCUGGAUCCGAAAGGAUGGGGGAGAACAAAGAGCCUUUGGAAGACGUCGCUGUUAUCUCAUUGUCUGUGUGAUUGGGGGAGCUGCGGUAGGGAGGAUGCUGUGGUCCUGUUCUCCCUGCCUCCCCACCCCCAACCCUCUCCCCGCUGUCAGUGCGCACGCACGCGCCCUUCUUUUUACUUAUUUUUCCUUGUUUUUUUCAUCCCAUCUUCUCCCCACCCCCCUUCCUUUCUUCCACCUGUCCUUCCUUCCUCCUUUACUUCCUCAGGAGAAAGGCCUCUCUCUCCGUGUUCACAGCGGACCUUGAUUUAAAUGUCCAUACAAUUAAGGCACGCGGUGAAUGCCAAGAAUGGGGCUGGCUGAGCACCGUCGGUCCGCGAGGGCCCGCCGGGAAGGAGCCACAGAGCCGAGGCGCCCUCCGCAGAGCUCAGCGCCGCGGCUUCGGGCGGGAGGGGUCUCGGGCUCCCGCUGGCUGGGCUAACCCUGAACCGGAGCCCUUGGGGCGGGGAGGUGUGCAGCUUGUGACAGACAUGGGCUUAGAGAGGCAGACAGACUCAGGGAGAGAAGCUGA
rnacentral:lncRNA from 1 species